AGAGGCAAUAAAUUUUUGUAUUUGAGCUGCAGCUCCAGACUGUAUUUCAGACUGUGCCAAAUUUAAAGAUUGUUUCGGUCUGUUUCGCGGGAUUUGCAUUAGGGCCAAUAGUCGUUAAAGUCCCAAAGUUAUGCAGCCCAUGAAAAUCGCAUUAAAAUUAAUUUGGCACUUCGCUGAAGGCCCCUAAAUAUCCUUAUCUAAUCCGAUGGAUAAUAGCAUCACACGUCAAGGUGGCAACUCUGGCCACGCGGCCAAAGGAGCCUUCACUUCCCAUUUUGCGCCCGAGUUUUCUAUCUUUUUGGGCCGGGAAUUUAUGUCAAAAGUUUCGUUUCUUGUUAUUUUUCCUGGGCGUCCUGGGCGCUGUGCCCAUUUCAUUCAUUUAUUCUGGCCGUCUCUGUCUGCCAUUAAAGUUACUUUUGUGGAGCUUUUGGCCUGGUUGUCAACGCAUUUCUUUGCUCAUUUCACUUGACUGCUUAGCGGGACGAGUGACGAGGGAAAGCGCAGGGAAAACCGGGGAAAAUCAGGGGUAAGAAAGAGAGAGCGAGAGAGCUCGCGCUGUCCAUUUUCACAGGAUGCGUUUCUAAUUAAAAACUUUAGACAGAGAAAGAGACGAAGAAGUUCAGCUCGCUGCACUUAGGCAAAUUGCCAGAUGUUGUCCUGUUCCACUGAAUUAUGCUUCUGAAUAUGUUGGGUCAACUAUUAAAAAGAUGUGAAAUGUGCAUUUCCCUAAGAACAUAUAACAAUUUGUGAGGCUUUCGUUUAAAAUCCUUUUACUUUGCUAUUGGUUUGCUAACUUAGCUUGGAUAUUUUUAAAAUUUCAGCUUAGAUGUGUUCCGAAAUCGUCAUUUAAAUGAAAUAAGUGAACAAUGAGCAAAUCUCAACGCCUCCUUACAGGUUCGAUUACUUCCUUUUUAUUGUCCGACAUUAAGAAUUCACGAAAUGUUAAGUGCAAUUAAUGAGGCGAAUGCAAAAAUGGUAAAAAGGCAAUGGCCAACCAACCAGCCACUUGCAACUAAUUAAAUUAUCGUUAAAAGAAGGCGCACGAAGGAAAAGCUGAAAGAAAAAUUUCUUGUAAUUGCUUGAAAUUAAAAAUAAUAUGCAAAGGAGCUACGAUUGCAAAGGCAGCUCACUAAAAGUCUAAAAAAAAUGCAUUUCCGCUCAGGAGAGAGUUAGGUCAAAAGCUAACAAAUUUAUCGCAACUAAAAGCUAAUGGAACCAAACGAAAAAGCUAAGUUAUUAUUUCUGCAUUUAAACACAAAGUUGCUCAUUAAAUAGCGUAUUUUAGAUACGUAUUUUAGUGGAGCAUAUUCACUUUAAAGUAUAUAAAUAACAAAUAAAGAACCGUUUAAGUUUAAUUCCCCUUUUUUUCUUAUCCGUAUAUCGUUUAAUUGAAAGUCUAGAUCACACAUCAUUUAGUUAAUUCGUAUUUUCCAAGAUUUUCAGCAGAGUGGAAAUAUUCAUUUCAGUUCAAACGCAGCAAUCGAAUUUCGCCCGAAUGGCAAGAGCUGGAAAAUUUUCUGAAACAUUUGGUCAACGGCCUCUGCAAUGGGCAUUGUUGUCUCUUUGGGCCAAGAAUUCUCAGGCCAACACCUUUUGCUACAGUGCAGCUUCUGUUGCAGCAGCUACAAUACGCAAUUAUGACGUGGGAAUUAUAUUAAAAUGGAAACAAUGACGAAGGCAAAGGGGCCAAAGCGGCAGAUGAGGUGGGAAAACCCAAGCUGUGAGCCCUUUUGCGGCUGCCUUUGGGGAAACUCGAGAACUAAGGGAACGUAGAAUAUAGGAACGAACAGCGUACACUGAUAAAAAUAAGAGUGAAACUAUGAAAGAUGAAUAUAUGUUGCAGCGUUUUUAAUAACGUAUUGAACACAUACAAAUUGCCACAUAUCGGAUACACCGUGUGAGGUCCGAGUUAAUUUUAUUUUCAGUGUAGAGCCCGAGUAUGAGACCAAUUCUACGGCACUGAAUUUUGCCCUUGUUAAUUGCAUGUUCUGCAUAUCACUUAUAAAUGCACCCACACAAUCUCAGCCCGUCAACUUCGCACUUACACAGACACCUUGCCACACAUGUCAGGACACAUGCACAAGAAAGAGACGGCGUCGUGGAAAACGAGAGGGAUGGGUAUAUGUGUGGAGCUACGAAGACUUUGGGAAAAGUUUGCCAUAAUUGGAUUUUCAGAGUUAAUUACCAGCAUUGAAUUUGGCCAUAAAAUGUAAGAAAUACCUACGCUCUCUCUCUCUCUGUCUCUGUCUUUUACUCUUCUAUCUCAUUCACACACUGAUUACAAAGUAAGUUGGCAUAGAUUUUAGAGUUUAAUUGGAAGUAAAUGUUUUGUAUUCUAGUUACAGUACGUUAUAGUCGGAAAUUAGAUACGCAGUGGCUUAUUAUUUUACUUGUUGUUUCACAACAAAAGUUAGUCGAACUAUCAAUGCUUAAUUACCUUAAAGUGUUGGGAAUGCCCUCAUUGCAGCUACAGGGAUAAAUAUACAGGGAGAGUGAGAGGUCUGCAAAGUUAUGCAUAAUGUGGACACAGCAAGGCGAGGAGAUGCCAAAGGACGAAGGACCAAAACCAGAAGCAGGACCAACAGAAGCUUAGGAAUUAUGUCUUAUUAUUUUGCCUGCAGCCUGUGGACGAGGCGAAGAACAAUGGCAAAUCACACAGCCAGGACCAAAAGCAGGACUCUAAAGCCGGCAAUCGGGUUGUUGUCCUGGCACUGCACCAAAGUCGCAAUCUCAACGCCUCCAUUCUGUCUCUCUGCCUGACUUGUCUUUAAUGUCUUUAUGCUUCGGCCAAAUGUUGGCUGCUCUAUAGAAUCGUCACACAGAGAAAAACAUUGGGGCAGUACGUACAAGUUAAAAAGAUAAUCGUCUUAUUUCUAAACUUAUUUCGCAUUAAGAUACUUUUAAAUGAAUUAUAUGAAAUGAUAUAGAAUUCAAA